rnacentral:lncRNA from 10 species
UGCUCGCUCCGAGGCCGCCGUGUGCGCCUGAGGCUGUUGGCUGCGGUCUUGAAACGGGCUCUGGGAGCUUCCUCUGCGCGGUCGGCCCUGGCUGAGGCGUCCCGGGCUGCGCGCGGGGCUCGGCGCUGCGCAGUGUCCGGUGUCCUCUCGGUCCGGAGCUUCUCCAGAGGAGGAGCGGCUCGUGCGCCCCCAGACCUCCGGUACUGGGAGACUCGGGCCCUCCUGUCUUUGGCUUUGAGCCUCUACAUUCUGGGGUCAAGACAAGUGGACAUGAUGUGGCCUGGAGACAUCUGUGUGUCCGCAGUACCUAAGCCCCAUCCUCCCUGGCCCAGCUGUACCCCCCGGUCAUGCUGUUUGUCUGCAGUGCCCGAGCCCCGUCCUCCCUAGCCCAGCUGUGCCCCCCGGCCAUACUGUGUGUCUGCAGUGCCUGAGCCCCGUCCUCCCUAGCCCAGCUGUGCGCCCCAGCCAUGCUGUGUGUCUGCAGUGCCCGAGCAUUGUCCUCUCUUGCCCAGCUGUGCCCCCCGGUCAUGCUGUGUGUCUGCAGUGCCCGAGCAUUGUCCUCCCUGGCCCAGCUGUGCCCCCCGGUCAUGCUGGGAGGGGUUGAGUCCUCCAGGCAUUGUCUUUGUAGUAGCCCAUUCUCACACUGCUAAUAAAGACAUACCUGAGACUGGGUGAUUUGUAAAGGAAAGAGGUUUAAUUGACUCACAGUUCAGCGUGGCUGGGAAGCCUCAGGAAACUUACAAUCAUGGCGGAAGAGGAAGCAAACACGUUCUUCACAUGAGGUCAGGAAGGAGGUGUGCAGAGCGAAGAGUGGGGAAGCACCUCAUGAAACCAUGAGACCUCGUGAGAACUCACUAGCACAAAAACAGCGUGGGGGAACCGCCCCCUUCAUCUAAUCACCUCCCACUGGGUCCCUCCCACAACACCUGUGGAUUUUGGGAACUACAGUUCAAGAUGAGAUUUGGGUGGGGACACAGCCAAACCAUAUCAGUCUUUAAAGCUCUGUCCUUUGUCCUGGGCUUUGCAUCUUUAAUAACAAUUAAAAUUGCUUACUUCCCAUGUUUUUCACUGAAAAUUAGGCUUCCUAAGAGUUAACAUUGUAAUUAAUAUAUGUAUUUAAAACUACUAGAUAUAAGAGAAACACUUCUGUAUGCAAAGUUUAUAAGAAAGUAGGAUGUGUUUUUGGUAAGGAAGGUUAUAAAGAAGGCAUGAGAAUGAGGUUUUUGUUAAAGGAAAAGUAAUUUUGUCUAGUUUUGAUGUUUUUAAAGGUUGUUUUAAAUUAAAGGAAUAAAAAAAUGAUAGAUAAAACUGAAUAUAUAUAGAAAGUUUGAGAAACAAAGAAUGGAACAAAUUUUAAGAGGUUAUUAAAGGUUUAUGGAAAUCUUAUGUGGUCAAAGCUGAUUGAGAUUGAAUGGAUCUGUUUUUAAGUUUUUAUUAAAAUUAGCUUUAGUAUUAAUAAUAUGCUAAUGUAAAGGUAGAAUUUAGUUUUCAUUUUUGAGUAAGAUUUUCAUGUAGUAUUAAUAA